rnacentral:rRNA from 1 species
UACGGGGGGGGCAAGCGUUGUUCGGAAUUACUGGGCGUAAAGGGCUCGUAGGCGGCCAACUAAGUCGGACGUGAAAUCCCCAGGCUUAACUUGGGAACUGCGUCCGAUACUGGAUGGCUUGAAUCCGGGAGAGGGUAGUGGAAUUCCCGGUGUAGUGGUGAAAUGCGUAGAUAUCGGGAGGAACACCAGUGGCGAAGGCGACUACCUGGCCUGUUCUUGACGCUGAGGCGCGAAAGCUAGGGGAGCAAACGGG